rnacentral:rRNA from 1 species
AUGUGAUCGUCUCUCGCAUAUCAAUAAGCGGAGGAAAAGAAACUAACAAGGAUUCCCCUAGUAACGGCGAGUGAAGCGGGAAGAGCUCAAAUUUGAAAUCUUAAAGGGUUUCCCUUUACGAAUUGUAGUUUAAAGAAGUGUUUUCUGUUGAGGUUUUGGUAAAAGUUCUUUGGAAUAGGACAUCAUAGAGGGUGAGAAUCCCGUAUUUGACCUUUACUUUCAACUUUGUGAUACACUUUCAAAGAGUCGGAUUGUUUGGGAAUGCAGUCCAAAAUGGGUGGUAAAUUUCAUCUAAAGCUAAAUAUUGGCGAGAGACCGAUAGCGAACAAGUACCGUGAGGGAAGAUGAAAAGAACUUUGAAAAGAGAGUUAAACAGUACGUGAAAUUGUCAAAAGGGAAGCGUUUGACACCAGUGUUGUUUUUCUGAAAAUCAAUUAAAGAACUGUUUAUGCUAAGCUGUUUAGACUUUAUCAGCUAAUCUGUUUAGUUUUGAGCUUUUCUUUAAUGCACCUUUCAGUUAACAAGUCAACAUCAAUUUCUUUUGCUGUAAAAAAGCUUGAGGAAGGUGGCUUGAGAUUCGUCUUAAGUGUUUAUAGCCUCUUGCCUAUGCAGUCGGAGAGAUUGAGGUCUGCAGCGUAGAUCCUUCGGGGCUAAAUGCAUUUGUGCUAAGUUAUAGCAUUUUAUAGACAACUUGUUGACUAUGAUUUGUCUUGUAGCUUACUCGCUUAUGUUAUUUUACCUACGCUUAGGAUGUUGAUCUGUAGUGCGUGCGC